GGGAGAUUAAUUCAAGGUUCACAGAACAGUACUGAGAUUGUCCUGGUGCAGAGGAGCGCAGGCAGGUUGGGACAAAAAGCAGAAUCUCCAAAACGAAAGGAAACUGAGCAGAGAAUGGAGUGAAUGGAACAGCUACUGGGAAUGGAAAAAAAAAAAAAAACGAGCAGAAUGAAUGGAUGCUUUAAAUAGCCAGGGAAGAACCGAGCCAAGCGGAGUUCUGGGAGACAUGGCGUGAACAACGUUCUAGCACUUAGGACACAGAGGAAGGAGGCCUUUGUCACUGGUGAGGAAGCAGCAUCCUACAGAGAGGCAGGACUGCCCAAGGGAGCCGCAAAACCAACAGCUACCCUGCAGGGGCCAACCCCUGCUUAUUCACAAGUCUCGAGCUGAGGUACGGAGGAGGGCAUGGUGUGUUGGCUUCCUUCCUUGUAAACCUUACCAGGUCCUCUCCCUGUGUCUAAACUCACCAAACUUUAGUUCACCCACCAGGGCCUUUCAGAGAAAUGAGAAAGGAGCAUGCUGUCACUGGGGUGGGGCUUAGCUCUCACUGGAAGGGUCUAAGGCCCAAACCCUCCAUUCGGCCCUUCCCUGGCUCCCUAAUGUGGAAGGGUGGAGGAUGGGACAGAAGAAAAACAUAAGGAAGAGAGAAGAAAGAGAACUGAGAUCAUGGACAGGCCUCUGACAGGGAUAACCAUCCCUUUUGGGAGUAAAGGGAGCAAGUGGGGAGUGUGAAGGUAAAAUAUUUUUGCACCCCUUUCCUCAACUACCUGGUACCAUCACACAUACAGGAUUGUCUCCUGGAUGCUGAGGCUCCAAAGCUCAUGCUGAUAUGGAAUUGCCUUGUAAGAGGACUCGGCUGUAAACACUGAUACAGCCUGUCUUCUCUCCAAUAGGAAACUGAAGAUGGGCCAGAGAAGAACUUACGUAUGGCUUCACCUUGGGGCCCCUCAAAUGACUGUCCAUCUAGAAGAGACUACCAUUUGGAUCAAGUUGUCUUACUUGACCAUUAGAGAAGCUAACUCCUAAGAACAGCCAAUGACCUGUCCAAGAUCAAAUAACAAAUCAGGAGCAAAUAGGAGCAAAGCCUCAACUGUCCAGACAGGCCAGGAACCUUCCUUCUAUGAACUGCACUGGAAAAACUACGCAGAGAGAAAAUACAGCGCAAAACAAAUGCCAAUAAAGCCUUUGUAUCCAGAAUACAUCAUCAGAUCUGAUGCCUUCUUCUGGCCUCCGAGGACACCAGGCUUGCAUGCGGUUCAUAGACAGACAUGCCAGCAAAACACCCCAUAUAUAUCAUAAAAUAAAUAAAUGUUUAAAGUUCUCAUAGGUUAGCAAUAGACAAGACACAGAGGGUAUAACUAAAUUGGUGCAGGGGUACUAGUAACAUACUCAUAACAAAUAGUUAGACCUGGAAAUACCAAAUCAAUCCCCAAAUGUGAAGCAGGGGCGGCACACUGCAGGUGGAGUUAGCAAGAACACCAGCUAGGACAAUUAUACUGUGGUCAGUGUGGCAGCAUCACACGUGACAGACAGGCAUGGAUAAGAUGUCUCCGGGCAGCACUGUAAAAGGGCACACACUGAGGGCAAAGAUUUCUUCAAACACCGGAAAACAAUUGGAAGUAGAUGAAUCCCGACGUGUGCAUAUUGUGGCAAUAAUAAAGAACAUCAAAACGAAUUGCCCGUGUCUAUGUGUAUGUGCGUGGCUAGCUCUCAAACACAUGACGAGAGAAGAAUAAGGGGGAAACAUAUGAAAAGUGGAGUAGGUUCCUAUUUUUGUAAGUAUUUCAAAACUCAGAACAAUACCACAUAUUAUAUUCAUUGAGUACAUAUGUAUGUGGUAGAAGUGCAAAGAGGAACAGAGCAUGUAUUGAAAACAAUGUCAAUUAAACAAGAUGCCAAGAACACACUUGAGGACAAUGACCCCCUGU